AACGCUAGCUACAGGCUUAACACAUGCAAGUCGAGGGGCAGCAUUAUCGAAGCUUGCUUUGAUAGAUGGCGACCGGCGCACGGGUGAGUAACGCGUAUCCAACCUUCCCCAUAGUCAGGAAUAGCCCGGCGAAAGUCGAAUUAAUGCCUGAUGUUUUCCACGGACGGCAUCUGAUGUGGAACAAAGAUUGAUCGCUAUGGGAUGGGGAUGCGUCUGAUUAGCUUGUUGGCGGGGUAACGGCCCACCAAGGCAACGAUCAGUAGGGGUUCUGAGAGGAAGGUCCCCCACAUUGGAACUGAGACACGGUCCAAACUCCUACGGGAGGCAGCAGUGAGGAAUAUUGGUCAAUGGGCGGAAGCCUGAACCAGCCAAGUAGCGUGAGGGAUGACUGCCCUAUGGGUUGUAAACCUCUUUUAUAAGGGAAUAAAAUACGGGACGUGUCCUGUUUUGCAUGUACCUUAUGAAUAAGGACCGGUUAAUUCCGUGCCAGCAGCCGCGGUAAUACGGAAGGUCCGGGCGUUAUCCGGAUUUAUUGGGUUUAAAGGGAGCGUAGGCCGGAGAUUAAGCGUGUUGUGAAAUGUAGACGCUCAACGUCUGCACUGCAGCGCGAACUGGUUUCCUUGAGUACGCACAAAGUGGGCGGAAUUCGUGGUGUAGCGGUGAAAUGCUUAGAUAUCACGAAGAACUCCGAUUG
rnacentral:rRNA from 1 species